GAUGAACGCUGGCGGCGUGCUUAACACAUGCAAGUCGAACGAUGAAGCCCAGCUUGCUGGGUGGAUUAGUGGCGAACGGGGGAGUAACACGUGAGUAACCUGCCCCUAACUCUGGGAUAAGCCUGGGAAACAGGGUCUAAUAUCGGAUAGGAGCGCCCAUCGCACGGGGGGUGUUGGAGAGAGUUAGCGGUUUUGGAUGGACUCGCGGCCUAUCAGCUUGUUGGUGAGGUAGUGGCUCACCAAGGCGACGACGGGUAGCCGGCCUGAGAGGGUGACCGGCCACACUGGGACUGAGACACGGCCCAGACUCCUACGGGAGGCAGCAGUGGGGAAUAUUGCACAAUGGGCGGAAGCCUGAUGCAGCGACGCCGCGUGAGGGAUGACGGCCUUCGGGUUGUAAACCGCUUUCGGUAGGGAAGAAGCGAAAGUGACGGUAACUGCAGAAGAAGCACCGGCUAACUACGUG
rnacentral:rRNA from 1 species